rnacentral:rRNA from 1 species
GACUACCGGGGUAUCUAAUCCUGUUUGCUCCCCACGCUUUCGUGCAUGAGCGUCAGUGCAGGCCCAGGGGAUUGCCUUCGCCAUCGGUGUUCCUCCGCAUAUCUACGCAUUUCACUGCUACACGCGGAAUUCCAUCCCCCUCUGCCGCACUCCAGCGAUGCAGUCACAAAUGCAGUUCCCAGGUUGAGCCCGGGGAUUUCACAUCUGUCUUGCAUCACCGCCUGCGCACGCUUUACGCCCAGUAAUUCCGAUUAACGCUUGCACCCUACGUAUUACCGCGGCUGCUGGCACGUAGUUAGCCGGUGCUUAUUCUUCAGGUACCGUCAUGACCCCGGGGUAUUAGCCCAGAGCUUUUCUUCCCUGACAAAAGCGGUUUACAACCCGAAGGCCUUCUUCCCGCACGCGGCAUGGCUGGAUCAGGCUUGCGCCCAUUGUCCAAAAUUCCCCACUGCAGCCCCCCGUAGG